rnacentral:rRNA from 1 species
UACAGAGGGUGCAAGCGUUAAUCGGAAUUACUGGGCGUAAAGCGCGCGUAGGCGGUUGUGUAAGUUGGAUGUGAAAGCCCCGGGCUUAACCUGGGAAUGGCAUUCAAAACUGCACGGCUAGAGUAUUGGAGAGGAAGGUAGAAUUCCAGGUGUAGCGGUGAAAUGCGUAGAGAUCUGGAGGAAUACCGAUGGCGAAGGCAGCCUUCUGGCCAAAUACUGACGCUGAGGUGCGAAAGCAUGGGGAGCAAACAGG